GGGGGUUUCUCUGGCCACAGUAUGAAACGUACAAUCCUCAUACUGGCCAGCGAAAUCCCAAA
rnacentral:pre_miRNA from 1 species